CAAAAACCUCUUCACCAAACACACUCACUUCUGCUUUCAGAUGUUCUGAAUAUAGACACUAACUGAAUGUCAAGUCAUCCUGAACCAGUGUGUCUGCAGGAGGAGAACAUUCCAUGCUUGUGUUUUACACAAAACCCUUCACACAUUUACUAGAAUGUUGUCAUUAACAAUUACACCUAGUUGUCACAAAGCAUGAAUGAUAAAGUGAUAUUCCAGAAGGUUCAGUCCUAACAGAAGACUCCAUGUAUCAGACAACCUCCAUGAUAGUCAGUCCCCUGGUUUACAGUAGAGACAUAUUACAUCAACAGUCAUUUAGUGAUGUACUGUUAGUUCAGAACCCCACUAUCAGGUCCAGAGAAUAUUAUCAUUAUGUUAUUAUCUAUACUAUGACAUGCUGAUUUUAAGAAAACUUACUAACAUAACUCACAUGAAACUAAAUACUGCUCUUUUCAGUGUAACCAAAAUGAUCCCAUAUGGUUUUUGUUAGUCCAAUAUAAAAUAUUGAUAUUUUUGAUUGUUGAAUAGUUACAGUAAUUUAAAUUGAUUAAAAGUCCAUCAUACAGAAGCUGAUAUGGUGAGAUAUAGAGGCCCCUCCCUCUGGUCCUUCCUGGCUUGGUGAUAGGUUAACUGUAGAGGCCCCUCCCUCUGCUCCUCCCUGUCUGUCUCCUUAUAGGUGGGUCCUGCAGCCUCUCCUCUCCUCACACUCCAACCCUGCUCAUCUCUCAGCUGGACAGAAAGGGCCGUUCACACCACACACUGACAACAUGCUGGGGACACUCUGCACUCUCAUCACUGCUCAAACAUGUGUCAGUGGUGUGAUUAUGGUGACACAGAAGCCUCCUGUUGUGACAGUGAGGAAAGGAGACACGGCCACUCUGUAACCUGGGGACUGUUGAUAAUAGAGACGGGCACUCUGGACAGUAACCUGGGGACUGUUGAUAGAAGAGACGGCUACUAUGGACUGUAACCUGGGGACUGUUGAUAAUAGAGACGCCACUAUGGACUGUAACCUGGGGUCUGUUGAUAAUAGAGACGGCCACUCUGGACUGUAACCUGGGAACUGUUGAUAAUAGAGACGGCUACUAUGGACUGUAACCUGGGGUCUGUUGAUAAUAGAGACGGCCACUCUGGACUGUAUCCUGGGGUCUGUUGAUAGGAGAGACGGCUACUAUGGACUGUAACCUGGGGACUGUUGAUAGAAGAGACGGCUACUAUGGACUGUAACCUGGAGACUGUUGAUAGGAGAGACGGCUACUAUGGACUGUAACCUGGGGACUGUUGAUAAUAGAGACGGCCACUCUGGACUGUAACCUGGGAAUUGUUGAUAAUAGAGACGGCCACUAUGGACUGUAACCUGGGGUCUGUUGAUAAUAGAGACGGCCACUCUGGACUGUAACCUGGGAACUGUUGAUAAUAGAGACGGCUACUAUGGACUGUAACCUGGGGUCUGUUGAUAAUAGAGACGGCCACUCUGGACUGUAUCCUGGGGUCUGUUGAUAAUAGAGAAGGCCACUCUGGACUGUAACCUGGGAACUGUUGAUAAUAGAGACGGCCACUAUGGACUGUAACCUGGGGUCUGUUGAUAAUAGAGACGGCCACUAUGCACUGUAACCUGGGGUCUGUUGAUAAUAGAGACGGCCACUAUGGACUGUAACCUGGGGACUGUUGAUAAUAGAGACGGCCACUAUGGACUGUAACCUGGGGACUGUUGAUAAUAGAGACGGCCACUAUGGACUGUAACCUGGGGACUGUUGAUAAUAGAGACGGCCACUAUGGACUGUAACCUGGGGACUGUUGAUAAUAGAGACGGGCACUCUGGACUGUAACCUGGGGACUGUUGAUAGGAGAGACGGCUACUAUGGACUGUAACCUGGGGACUGUUGAUAAUAGAGACGGCCACUAUAAACUGUAACCUGGGGACUGUUGAUGAUAGAGACGGCCACUCUGGACUGUAUCCUGGGGUCUGUUGAUAAUAGAGAAGGCCACUCUGGACUGUAACCUGGGAACUGUUGAUAAUAGAGACGGCCACUAUGGACUGUAACCUGGGGUCUGUUGAUAAUAGAGACGGCCACUAUGCACUGUAACCUGGGGUCUGUUGAUAAUAGAGACGGCCACUAUGGACUGUAACCUGGGGACUGUUGAUAAUAGAGACGGCCACUAUGGACUGUAACCUGGGGACUGUUGAUAAUAGAGACGGCCACUAUGGACUGUAACCUGGGGACUGUUGAUAAUAGAGACGGCCACUAUGGACUGUAACCUGGGGACUGUUGAUAAUAGAGACGGGCACUCUGGACUGUAACCUGGGGACUGUUGAUAGGAGAGACGGCUACUAUGGACUGUAACCUGGGGACUGUUGAUAAUAGAGACGGCCACUAUAAACUGUAACCUGGGGACUGUUGAUAAUAGAGAAGGCCACUAUGGACUGUAACCUGGGGACUGUUAACUGAUGGAUUCAAAAGAACCAGACACAAACAGCAAAAUAUGAUGCUAUUCUAUAUACUGUUACUUCAUAGAGAGGAACUCUAGAAAAGCCUGAGAUGUUUGUAGUGAGAGUGAAGCUCUGUCUGAAUGGGAUGUUUCAGUUCCUGUCCUCUCAGUAGAGAGAGUGAAGCUCUGUCUGAAUGGGAUGUUUCAGUUCCUGUCCUCUCAAUAGAGAGAGUGAAGCUCUGUCUGAAUGGGAUGUUUCAGUUCAUGUCCUCUCAGUAGUGAGAGUGACGCUCUGUCUGAAUGGGAUGUUUCAGUUCCUGUCCUCUCAAUAGAGAGAGUGAAGCUCUGUCUGAAUGGAUGUUUCAGUUCCUGUCCUCUCAGUAGAGAGAGUGAAGCUCUGUCUAAAUGGGAUUUUUCAGUUCCUGUCCUCUCAGUAGAGAGAAUGAAGCUCUGUCUAAAUGGGAUGUUUCAGUUCCUGUCCUCUUAGUUGUGAGAGUGAAGCUCUGUCUGAAUGGGAUGUUUCAGUUCCUGUCCUCUCAGUAGAGAGAGUGAAGCUCUGUCUGAAUGGGAUGUUUCAGUUCCUGUCCUCUCAAUAGAGAGAGUGAAGCUCUGUCUGAAUGGGAUGUUUCAGGUCCUGUCCUCUCAGUAGAGAGAGUGAAGCUCUGUCUGAAUGGGAUGUUUCAGUUCCUGUCCUCUCAGUAGUGAGAGUGAAGCUCUGUCUGAAUGGGAUGUUUCAGUUCCUGUCCUCUCAGUAGUGAGAGUGAAGCUCUGUCUGAAUGGGAUGUUUCAGUUCCUGUCCUCUCAGUAUUGAGAGUGAAGCUGUCUGAAUGGGAUGUUUCAGUUCCUGUCCUCUCAGUAGUGAGAGGGAGGAGGUUAUUGUACGGCUGUGUAUACAAACUGAAUCACUGUGGUAUUCGGACCAGGAACCAAGCUCAUUGUUACUGAUGGAGAUCUGGCUACACCUGCUGUGACCCUGUUCCCUCCAUCCACUGAAGACCUCAAGUCCAGCAGAGCAACACUGGUGUGUCUGAC